UGGAAUAGGAUGAGAGCAAUUAGAAUGAACCUGAGAAUGCAGCACAUUUUCUAUCAAGGGGCUAUUCUAUGCUUGAACAGAUGAUGUAUGAUGAUCACAGAAAGAAAGGAAUACUUGUGCCUACCGAAAAAGAGUUUCGAGGCUAUUAUGCUCUCCUUAAAUUGGAUAAGCAUCCUGGUUAUAAAGUUGAACCUGCAGAGCUAUUCCUUAAUCUCGCUAAGAUGACUCUAGAGACAAGGUAGACUCCAGAAGUUCUAAUUGCCUGCGAUGUAGCAAGGUUUGUAAUUUCAAAUGGAAAUUAAAUUAGCUACUUUUUUUUUUACCUUACUUAGCUUG